UACGUAGGUGGCAAGCGUUGUCCGGAUUUACUGGGCGUAAAGAGCUCGUAGGCGGUUCGAUAAGUCAGGUGUAAAAACUCCAGGCUCAACUUGGAGAGGCCACCUGAUACUGUCGUGACUAGAGUCCGGUAGAGGAGCACGGAAUUCCUGGUGUAGCGGUGAAAUGCGCAGAUAUCAGGAGGAACACCAGCGGCGAAGGCGGUGCUCUGGGCCGGAACUGACGCUGAGGAGCGAAAGCGUGGGGAGCGAACAGG
rnacentral:rRNA from 1 species